UCGAAGGCUGCAUCAGUCUUUUCUGCCGCCUACUCCUCCCUUUCGGUUUCCGGGGCGCGGCACAGCUACUGGCGAUGAUGCGUCGAUCCCCUUCUCUUCUACGCCGCAUCCUCCUGCCACGCGCCGAUGGACGGCGAUCAGUCACCUACAUGCCCCGGCCCGGCGACGGAUCUCCCAGGAUCGUCACCCUGAUCCCCGGCGACGGGAUUGGGCCCCUCGUCACCGGCGCCGUGCAGCAGAUCAUGGAGGCCAUGCACGCGCCGGUGUUCUUUGAGACGUUCGAGGUUCACGGGGAUAUGCCCGCGUUUCCUCCGGAGGUUAUCGAGUCGAUCCGGCGGAACAAGGUGUGCCUCAAGGGCGGACUCUUCACCCCGGUGGGAGGUGGGGUGAGCUCCCUCAACAUGCAUCUGAGGAAGGAGCUCGAUCUGUACGCCUCGCUGGUUCAUUGCUGCAACCAUCCCGGGCUGCCGACGAGGCAUGAGAAUGUGGACAUUGUGGUGAUCAGGGAGAACACGGAAGGCGAGUACUCGGGCUUGGAGCACGAGGUUGUGCCUGGCGUCGUUGAGAGCCUCAAGGUAAUAACAAAAUUUUGUUCCGAGCGCAUCGCGCAGUAUGCAUUUGAGUAUGCUUACCUUAACAACAGGAAGAAAGUCACAGCAGUGCAUAAGGCAAACAUUAUGAAGCUUGCUGAUGGGUUGUUCUUAGAAUCUUGCCGUGAGGUUGCAACCAAAUACCCAGGGAUAAAAUAUAAUGAAAUCAUAGUUGACAACUGUUGCAUGCAACUUGUGUCAAAGCCUGAACAAUUUGAUGUCAUGGUCACACCAAAUCUUUAUGGCAAUUUAGUGGCAAACACGGCUGCUGGAAUUGCCGGAGGCAGUGGAGUUAUGCCAGGAGGAAACGUGGGCAAAGAACAUGCAGUGUUCGAGCAAGGUGCUACAGCCGGCAACGUAGGGAACCAGAAGCUGGUGGAGCAGAAGAAGGCAAACCCGGUGGCGCUGCUGCUCUCGUCUGCCAUGAUGCUGCGGCAUCUGCGGUUCCCGUCGUUCGCCGAUCGACUGGAGACUGCCGUCAAGAGAGUGAUUGCAGAAGGCGAGCGCCGGACCAAAGACUUGGGAGGAAGCAGCACCACCCAAGAAGUCGUUGAUGCAGUCAUUGCAAAGCUCGACUGGGUGAGCCACCGCUAAACCUCUCUCUCCGCUCGCUCAGGAAUGACCGCCGCAUGUGUAUUUUUAAAUUUAUUUAUAGUGAUGAUUUCUCGGAUUCUCAUCGGGGCAACUCCCAUGGUUUUUUCUGUUCCGAUUAAUAAUAAUUUCAUUUGUCAAUAAACAAAACGGUCUUUUUUAUUUCAAUAAUGACUAGCUUUGAUUUAUCGGCGAUUUCAUUACUUAAGUUUUAUUUGUCCAAAACCUAGAUUCAUUAAAUAAAUGGAUAGUGAAACUUCUCAUGCGAUUCCGUAAUCGUCGUUGAUUUUAUUUCCAAAAGCGUCACGAAUCGUGUAACUCCCCGGUUCAUACCCGUGACGUGCCGAAUCGGCCGCGGGGUUGCAGCAAUGCCGUUCUCAGACGUCGACGCGGCGGAUGCCACCCUCGAGCUCACCAUCUUCCUCCACUCCGCCGGUGGAAGCAACCGUCUCAGGGGAUCUUCCUCGUUCCUCCUCCUCCCUUCUUCCAAGCCCAAGAUCUUCGCCGUCGCCUGGAUCGACCCCACCGCAAAGCGAUCCACCAAGUCGCUCUCCCUCAAGGGCCCCAGUCCCGAUCUCCACCUCCCCCUCUCCCCCCGCGUCCUCCGCGACGCACAAUCCACCCUGACUGUCCAGAUCUUCUCAUCUCGCUUCCCCUUCGGCCGCGGCGGUGCUAACGCAAGGUUGGAAGGCGCCGCCGUUGUCCCCCUCUCUUCGCUGCCCGCUGCCGCAGGAAAAACCCUCACCUUUCCCCUUAUCCGCUCCUCCAGACGUUCCGAGGGCUUCUUCCGCAUCUCUACACGCGUGCUUUGGAGCCUCGGUGCCUCGCCGCAGGCGGCUUCCCAAGCAGAGUGCUAUGAUUGGCUUCCCGAACACUUUGCCAUGGCUCCGGCGACUAGCGGGGAGUUGGGAUUUUACAGAAUAGAGCCGAAUGCGCCGCCGAUUUCGGAAGAGUACGGCAGGCAACCGCCGAAUUAUCCAUCCGAAGAGACCGCUGCUAGCCUUCCGUCAUUUAUGGCAAGACCAGACACACUGCCGAUGCAGGAAGAAAACGACGGUAAUCUUCAUCUACCUCCAUCAGAAAAUCAACCGAAGCAUGGAGGGUUCGCCCGUGCAUGGAGGAGUUUCUGGGUCGGAUUGGCGAGCGGUUCCGUCGCGGUUGCACUGAUCGGAGCAACUGCCUUUUACGAGGGCUAAAGGAAACAUCUUGAUUACGAAGAUCUGCCAUUGAAUUGUAGAUGAACUGAUCAACUGACUGCUAAAACUACUGCAAUAGAAUUCCUACUGAUGCACGAUUUCGCUCAUCCAUGACAGUGUUUUCAGUGUUCAUGCUUGCUCUUCUAUAGUAACACUUGGUGUUCAAUAGCUUAUCUGGUUAGUCUCAAAUCAAAUGAAGUCCUACUUAUUGAAUGCGUUCUUGUUUUAUGAUUGCUAGUAUGAACAAUUGAGUUCUUGUUUAUGAAAAUUAAAGAAUCAGCUA